UACGUAGGGUGCAAGCGUUGUCCGGAAUUACUGGGCGUAAAGCGCACGUAGGCGGAUAUUUAAGUCAGGGGUGAAAUCCCAGAGCUCAACUCUGGAACUGCCUUCGAUACUGGGUAUCUUGAGUAUGGAAGAGGUAAGUGGAAUUCCGAGUGUAGAGGUGAAAUUCGUAGAUAUUCGGAGGAACACCAGUGGCGAAGGCGGCUUACUGGUCCAUUACUGACGCUGAGGUGCGAAAGCGUGGGGAGCAAACAGG
rnacentral:rRNA from 1 species